rnacentral:tRNA from 1 species
GUCACAGUAGCAUAGUGGUUAAUGCGCAGCCCCGGAUACUUUGAGACGCGGGUUCGAAUCCCGCCUGAGUUG